UGGCCUGCCAUGGCCGCAUCCUGGGCCUAUAAAAACCCAAGAUGCUAGCAAGGCAGUGACAGAGGCCGCCAGACGUUGAGAGGACAAGUCAGCAGAAGACGCCACAGCCGCUGGCGGUGGAGAGGAGGUCGAGAGGCUCACGCGCGCAGAAGAAAAUACCGGCACACGGACAGGCCAUUGACCGGCAGGACCAGGCGGAGUUUGGCCCGGGCAGUGGGAGGAGAGCCAGGGGAAGAUCAUCUUCCUUCUGGCUCCCCAUCGUGGGAGAGUUAACACUUGACACUCGUUCUCCAAGCCCAGGUGUGCUGCGAUUCUUCAGGUACACCAAGGCAAGAACCCGGGAUACAGAAAUCCCUCUCUCCUUGCGAUAAGGAAGGGGGCCUAUUGAGCUGGUUAACAUGAGCCGCCUAUAGACACCUUGUAACAGACGCCCCCUGGGUCUUCAGGAGCCGUAAACAUCCACCGCAGACACCGCCGUGGGGUCGGAGCCGCACAAAGCUCCCCUGGAGGUUUGAGCAGCGGGAAGCGAGCCAGAGCCACACCCCAACUGCACACCCUGCGGGGGCCUUUCAGAUGGGAAGAGGGUGAAGUCCAUUUUCUCCUCCUUUGAGUCUGGGCUUGACUGACUAACACGGCUUUUGCUAAUGGGAAAUUAACAAACAUGAUAAAGAGGCUUAAGAAGAACUGACGUUGGGGUUUUGCUUCCUGCUGCUCCUGGGACCCUGCUGUCAUGUGAACACAUCGGAUUAUCUUGUCGGAGAAUGAGACCAGGGGAAGAGAACCAACCUACCCUGGCCGAUAGAAAGCCACUCCCAGGGCCGGACACGGUGGCUCACGCCUGUAAUCCCAGCACUUUGAGAGGCCAAGGUUGGUGGAUCACUUGAGGCCAGGAGUUCGAGACCAGCCUGGCCAACAUGAUGAAAGCCCGUGUCUACUAAAAACACAAAAAUUAGCUGGGCGUGGCGGGCGCCUGUGAUCUCAGCUACUCCGGAGGCUGAGGCAGGAGAAGUGCAUGAACCCGGGAGGUGGAGUUUGCAGUCAGCCAAGAUUAUGUGCUCCCCAGCCUGGGCAACAGAAUGAGACUGCGUCUCAAAAAAAAAAAAAAAAAAGCAAAGAAAAAAAAGAAAGCCACUCCCAGAGGGUAAGUGGGGCCAUCUGGAUAUACUAGCCCUCACCAGUCCACUGACUGAUCACCAGAAUUUGCAAAUGAAGACAAAUGCAUGAGUGAGCCUCACCAAAAAUAGCAAGCAAAGUGUCCUGCCUCGCUCCAGUGAUGAUCUAUAGAAUCAUGAGUUGACAAUUGUUGUGUUAGGACACUAAGGUUUGGAAUGGUUCAUGACACAGCAGUAGAUUACCAAUACCAGUCAAAUGGUGAUGAGAACAGAGUAACUGUUGCAAGUUUCAGAAGUAAUGCUGUGUUUUUGUUUUUCUUUGAGAGGUUUGAGUGCUGUGCUCACCUAAGUUUAAAAUGAAAAUGGGGCUGGGCAUGGUGGCUCACGCCUUUAAUCCCAGCACUUUGGGAGGCCAAGGCACGCGGAUCACUAGAAGCUAGGAGUUCAAGACCUGCCUGGCCAACAUAGUGAAACCUCGUUCUCUACUAAAAAUACAAAAGUUGGCGGGGAGUGGUGACUCAUGCCUGUAAUCCCAGCACUUGGGGAGGCCGAGGCGGGCAGAUCACGAGGUUAGGAGUUGGAGACCAGCCUGGCCAACACAGUGAAACCCCGUCUCCACUAAAAAUACAAAAAUUAGCUGAGCUUGGUGGUAUGCGCCUGCAACCCCAGCUACUCGGAAGGCUGAGGCAGGAGGAUCGCUUGAACUCGGGAGGCGGAGGUUGCAGUGAGCCGAGAUUGUGCCACAGCGCUCCAGCCUGGGCAAAAGAGCUAGACUCCGUCUCAAGAAAAAAAAAAAAAAAAGUUAGCCAGGCAUGGUGGCACACACCCAUAAUCCCAGCUACUCCAGAGGCUGAGGCACGGGAAUCACUUGAAUCUGGGGGCGGAGCUUGCAAUGAGCCAAGAGCGUGCCACUGCACUACAGCCUGGGCAACAGAGUGAGAUUCUGUCUAAAAACUAACUAACUAAAUAAAUAAAUAAAUGAGAAUGGUAUUUGCAUAUAGCCACUAGCUGGUCCCCAAAAGCCUCUUCCCUGGCCAACUGGUCUCCUGCAGAACCCUGACUAGUGACAAUUCCUCCAUGGAACCUCUUUUUCUAUUAUUAAACAAUUAUAUAAGUGCAUAUUCUGGGUAGGAAGUGCUUUCACACUCUAAAAACCCUCUUCUGUGAUGAAAUCUGGUUGUUUUCCUUUAAAGAUGAAAUAUAUUUCUACUGACCCCAAUGUGGAGAUCAAGUGAUUCUCACCUUGAAAGUAUCAUGGUUGGUCACUGUGAUUAGAACAAGAAAAUGCUGUGAUUUUUCUCUGCAACAGUAGGGCCGACUUGUCCUGAAAGCCGAAAGUCUUUGCAGCGAAAGGAAAGGGUGCAGUGGAUGACUCCUAGCCCUGAGAAUAACAUGGAUCUGGAAGGUCCAUAUAUCAUUCAGUGAAUCAGUAAACACCACUGGGUUCCCUUUGGGGAUAUAGCACCAACAAUAAAGGGCCCUGUUCUGAAUUCUCUGGAAUUAAACUGAGUGUUCAGGAUGCAAAACUCAUUAAAAAUUGGCAGUUGCGGCAUGGCAUGGCAUAAUAAUAAAUCCAGGAGCAGAAGGGAUGCGAACCCAUAUAUCAAAUGAGGUCCCAAACGCUCCCCAGUGUGUGACUCCUGCUAGUUCUAGUGUGGCUGCCAUUGCAUGGGACGUGUUGGAGUCCUUCAUGGGCGCUCCAUGAAAGACAUCUUUCUGUGCUACAGGCAGCCCUGGUGGGAUGUGCUCCCACCACAAUGAAAAAGUCAGCCCUAGAAAGAUCAGUGGCAGAGGAAAGAAGUGGGUAUUUUGCUUUGUUUUUUUCCCAAAACAGAAAGACGUAAUUGCUAUUCCCACUCUGGUAAGCUUGGCAUAUAAAUACCAGGGACUCUGGUCUUCCUGGCAACCCCUCUCUCCAUUGGUACUCAGUCACUCCAAGCAUGUUCCAUGGCAUGUUAAUAAGUGCUGCUUCAACAAGCCUUAAAGAACAUAGUUCCACUCUUCAUGCUAAUUGCCUAUGCACAUUCUCUCCCACCUUUCACCAUCACAAAUUCAGAAACAGCCAGCAACUCCUCACAAGUGAAUGGUAUUAAGCUGUUAGGUCGUAAGUAAGACCAAUUGAAUCAACAGGUUCAUAGGACUUUAAACGUCACACUGCUUCAGAUGUCUAGAUCAUCAGUUACUCCCAUCCUGCUGUGCCUCCAUCUCCAGGUUUCUUCACAUGAGCUUACUAGCUUAAAUGAGAUUUAUUUGAACUAAAAAGGUGAAGGAUGACAGGGCAUGGUGGCUCACGCCUGUAAUCCCAGCACUUUGGGGGCCGAAGUGGGCGGAUCACCUGAGGUCAGGAGUUCGGGACCUGCCUGACCAAAGUGGAGAAAUCCCGUCUACCAAAAAUACAAAAAAAUGAGCCGGGCGUGGUGGCGCAUGCCUAUAAUUCCAGCUACUCGGGAGGCUGAGGCAGGAGUAUCGCUUGAACCCAGGAGGCAGAGGUUGUGGUGAGCCAAGAUCACACCACUGCACUGCAGCCUGGGCAACAAGAGUGAAACUCUGUCUCAGAAAAAAUAAAAAAAAGCAGAAGGAUCUCCCCACGCUCUCACAAUGGUUAGUUACUGGUUAAAAUUCAUUAUGUGCCUUUAGAAAUUAAAGUGAUAAGUUGGAGACCUAACUAGCUCUGAAAGCUAAUAAGCUACGGCAGAGAGGGUGGGAAUCUGAGAGGCAGAGAGUAAGAGUAAGUAAAGGAGAGUAAGAGUAAGAAAACACGUGUGGGGUCCACUCUACCCUGUGACGGUGUCAAUAAACUGUAUGCAAAAGGCUAGUACUUUUUUUCUGAACUUGUCUAAAUCUACUUUUAUUUAAAUAGAAAUCCAAAACACUUCCUAGGUUAUGAUUUUCAAGAUCAGUCUAAAAUUUAAAAGUAAGCCCCUAAAAAUAAUGUUUGAAUUAUUAGCUAUAGAAAAUAUUUCAUGGCUGGGCAUAUGUGUCUCACGCCUGUAGUCCCAGCACUUUGGGCGGCCAAAGCGGGCAGAUCACCUGAGGUGAGGAAGUCAAGACCAGCCUGGCCAACAUGGUGAAACCCUAUCUUACUGAAAAUACAAAAAUUAUCCGGGCGUGGUGGCGUGCACCUGUAGUCCCAGCUACUCGGGAGGCUGAGGCAGGAGAAUGGCGUGAACCCGGGAGGUGGAGGUUGCAGUGAGCCAAGAUGGUGCCACUGCAAUCCAGCCUGGGAGACAGAGUAAGACUCCAUCUCCAGAAAAAAAAAGAAAAUAUUUCAUGCCUAUCAAUCAGAAAAAAUACAAUAAUUAUUCAAGCACACAUGAAAUCUUAAAAUCAUGUUCACGUGCUAGCAUACGAGGAAAACCUUAAUCCAUUCUGAAGAUCAAUAUUAUAAAGAUUGUGGUCUGCUGAUAAUACAGUAAAUUUGAAACCAUUAGUAGAUGAUUGAUUUAAAAUGUUAUGCCCGGGACAUUUACAACAUGCAAUUAAAAACUUCUGAGCAAGCUUUUGCCAGUGCCUGCUGCCUUUUGUGAUUGUGCAUCCUAGCUGAGGCAUGCAGAACCAAAUGAAAGCAAGGAUUCAUUAACUCUUUGAACUUGUUAAAUGCUAACAGUUAACCAUUAGAAAUGGUUCAACGAUGUGAGCCACACUACUUCAACUUUUUCUUUGUUGUAGUUUUAGAAUGGUCAAUUUUUAGCUACUUGACAGAUUAAAAGCAAAAUAAUCACGCCAUAUUUAGUCCUGGAGUUCAAGUCUACAUGUUUAUGUGAAAAAUCUUUGUAAUAAACUUUUAACAUGAGAAGGCAACCUUAAGCUCUAUUUUAGCCAAAUGAAACAAAACCUGAAAUUGUAUUAGAACAUUUCCCUGUCUUCAAACUGGUGUAACAGAAUCCUGAUAUGCAGCUUGAUGGAUUUCACCAGUUAAGGCACAUUCUUCUCCCUCCGUCCCUGCAAUACUGUGUAUACUGAACAAUGUGCAUUUGUCUGAGGAGUUAUUUUGUUUGCCACCACUUAACGAAUCUCAAAAUUUUGAGUAACUGUACCUCAGUCUAAUCGGACUUUUUAUGAGCUUUAUAACUACAUUGAAACCCUUAAUUCCCAUUUCUGGGUGUUUGUGAGCCUGAUUGCUGUCAUUUGCGACUCUAGGUACUCACCAGCUAAAUA
rnacentral:lncRNA from 1 species